UGGUGUCUCAUGGAAGUCACAUGGUGUGAGUCACGUGGUGUGAUGGUGUAGUUUAUUUUUGGUGUGAAAUCAGUGAAAAUCUUCACUAGCAACCAGCCAACAACAUAAUCAGUGUAAACAGACUGAGGAUUAUUGAUUAUCUGGUUAUUAUUUUGUGUGGGACCUUGAGAGUUUAUGAAAACUGUAAAUUUAAAUUACUUGUUUGUUAAAAUCUCAGUACAUACAAUGAGGGAAACAGUGGUAUCAAACAUACUGCCUGGGUAGCAGGACCGGCCGGCAGGAUGUGAACUUUGUAGAGGAGGUCAGAAGCCGCAAAGACCUCAUCCCUCUCUGGCCGCGGCCCGUCACAUCAGUCGUCUGUCAAGCCUCAGAUUGACGACACAAAGAUUAAUCUUCAGUCUGUGUGUUUGUGGACCGCUGCGUUUCUAGGGAUCCUGCAGGUGCGCUUCAGGAUUACGCUGUCUCUGAGCUGAUGUGGUGGCUGCACAGCUGCACUCAGAGCUGCCGAGCGACUCCAAUCAUGACUCUUAUGGACAGAAGCCCGGAGUGGAGGUGUAUGGAGGUUUGGUGAUGUUGUGGUCUCUAAGGUAGUUUUGCUGGAUACUUCAGGUGGCGACCUUCAGCUCUGUGAAAGCCGAGGUCCUCCGCAGGAAAAGGGUGUUGAGCCUGUUUUAGAUGGAGGCGGUAAAGCAGGUUGUUUUCAUGCGUGAUAGAGGUGGGACCAGAGCACAUGCGUGGUGCCAUGUGAGCACACAGGUAGAUACGUACCCACACUCACACAAGCACCUAUUAGUGACUGACCAAUCAGGUUGAGAACAUGAGGCCCCAGACAUGCUGGAGAGACCUCUGAAAGAUUAGACGGAUGAUGAGUAAAUUUGAGGGUUUCCUGCUUUGUCAUGGUAACGAACUGUCUGACCUCCCAUCAGUUUCAUCAGUUCAGUUUCUGUUUGCCUCUGAGCUACACAGCAGUACUGAUCUGCAGCAUAAGGUCAUUUCCCAUCUCUCUGUUAAAGGAACCAAUCAGAUCAGUCCAAAAAAUAAUGAUCGCAGUAACUGAUCCUUCACAGCCACGACUGAUCGAUCAGGAACCACAAACUCUGACUCUCCUCUAUGAUCCAGCAUUGAUCAGGAGUGUUGAUCGACUGUAUGAGCAAACACAAAUGUCCUCUGAUCCAGGUGCACACUAACGAGCUCAGCAAGGAGCAGAUGGCUGAGUUUAUUAAACUCCACCAAGACAGCGGUGGCGCAAAUCUGAAGGCUAGCCCGUCCCAUUUCACAGCCUCGCGCUUCCGGCUUUCUCGGCCUUUGGAGGACCCGGUCCAGAGGUUUGGAGAAACUUCUUCCCAUUCUUUCAUCACAGCUGUGUCCUGUGCCAGAUGUUUUGUUGACCCAAUGAGAGAGGCAUCGUUUCAGAAACAUCAGGAAAACUAAAGCUUAUUGCAGGGAUCAAGUAGGACUCAUGAUCUUCAACACCAUCUCCCUCACAGGGAAAUCUUCACAGCCCCACCGUAGGCCCGCCCCAGAAGAUGGAUAAACCCAGCAUUUCUUGAACACUGUGAUGGAGACUUUUGCUUUGUGUAAUGUUAUAAGUAUUCAGAUAAUCCUCAGAGGCUCCAGACUUUUACACAAAGAUAUUAUAUUCAGUCCUGUAGAAAGUUAUAUAUUUAAAAAUGCAUUAUCCUCUCUGGUUACUCUUGUAUGAAUGACUCUGAAUUACUUUAUGGUAAAUAACACACUAUUGGCAAAAAACAGUGAAAGAAUUCCAGAUCACCAGUUUUUAGCUCAACAUACAAGUGAUAACCUUUGACCUUCAUCAGGUUUUAUUUAAUUGUGUCAGAGAAAAUCUCAUAUGCUCUUCAUGCAGCUGAGUACAUUCAGUAUUUAAAACAGAAGCUCUGCAGGUCUGAGAUCAGCAGCUUUCUGAAACACUAAAUUGAGGUACUGUUAAUGCUGAUAUAUAGUGACACAGUUACAUGGGUGAUUAAUUCUUUUGACUUUUUGUCUGUAACUUUAUCAAUAAAACAGCCGCAGCUUUCACUGACAGCACAUCAUGUGGUACUUUAACCUUUGUGCUGUUUUCAUCAGUUAAUUUUGGAGUUACUACAAAGAGUGAAGAUAUAGGAUGA